UGUGGUGUGGUUCCAGUCUCGACGUGCAUUCACUUAGCUGUGAACAGAUGCACAAAAAGUGGCCAUCUAAAGCUUUCAAAAGCAAUGCAGAUGUUUGAAUUUUUUUGCUGUGUGCAGUAAUAAGAGCAGAAAUGUUUAAAAACUGAAUUAUGUAUGUUAUACUGCAUUUAUCAUAGUACAUCAUUUUUAAACGCCCACACAACCUAUUAGAGUUAUCGUAAAUAUGAAAUAAAAUGUACCCAAAACAGUUCUUAGCCUGUAAUAAAAUGUUUUCUGUACAGUACAAUUUGCAAAUUUGGUUUCAGUGUUUCCCAAUCCUGGUCUGACUGCACAUUUUCCAAGUGUUUCCCUUCCAAGGAUUGGGAAACACUAGAGUAUAUUGACAUCUAAAAUGUAAAAAAAAUUUUACAUCCUAGUUUUUCCAAGUACUUUUAAUGUCUAUUUUACGAUUUUGUUAUCUUUUUAAAUUUGUUAUUUUUUUUUAAAAAUCCUAAUUUUGUAAGUACUGGCCCCCCCGAACAACACUUAAAUUUAAUGUGAAAACAAUGUUAACUCUUAGCGGAAUUGCACCACAUGCAAUGCAUGCUGGGGCAACCCUGAAAGACUGUUGGUUCUAUCCCAGCUGCCAACAAGUCACAACCACUGGAACUCUUUUGUGAUAAGUGACAUUCUUGUUUUUCCAAUUUUUUUUUCUCUACAGCCAGAAUGUUUAACUUUAACCAUUGACCUGUACCAGUCUAUUCAACAUAAGCACGUGAAGUCCCUGAUCAGAGCGUUGCAUUGGAAGUUUUGUUCAGUGUAUGUACAGAAAGGGAGCAUACGCCAAAUAGUCUAAGCACAUUUUUUCAGAAUACAGU